rfam:Pelagibacterium halotolerans B2, complete genome.
CCAGUUGACCGGGCGGCCGCUGCGUGAGCAGAGGAAAGUCCGGGCUCCAUGAGAACACGGUGCCGGGUAACGCCCGGCGGGGGCGACCCCAGGGAAAGUGCCACAGAAAGCAAACCGCCCCGGCUUUGUCCGGGGUAAGGGUGAAAGGGUGCGGUAAGAGCGCACCGGGUGCCUGGCAACAGGGGCCGCACGGUAAACCCCACCGGGAGCAAGACCGAAUAGGGACGAUGGAGGCUUGCCUCGGCCGCGUUUUCACGGCUUGUCGUCCGGGUUGGUUGCAUGAGGGCUCCAGCAAUGGGGCUCCCAGAUGAAUGGUCGCCACGUCCGCGUUUGCGCGCGGGCCCUACAGAACCCGGCUUACAGGUCAACUGGUGAC